rnacentral:rRNA from 1 species
UCGGCUUAGAGUUUGAUCCUGGCUCAGGACGAACGCUGGCGGCGUGCCUAAUACAUGCAAGUCGAACGAAUUGGUGCUUGCAUCAUUGAGUGGCGAACUGGUGAGUAACACGUGGGAAACCUGCCCAGAAGUGGGGGAUAACACCUGGAAACAGAUGCUAAUACCGCAUAACAACUUACCGCAUGGUCGAGUUUGAAAGAUGUUCGUAUCACCUUUGGAUGGUCCCGCGGCGUAUUAGCUAGAUGGUGAGGUAACGGCUCACCAUGGCAAUGAUACGUAGCCGACCUGAGAGGGUAAUCGGCCACAUUGGGACUGAGACACGGCCCAAACUCCUACGGGAGGCAGCAGUAGGGAAUCUUCCACAAUGGACGAAAGUCUGAUGGAGCAACGCCGCGUGAGUGAAGAAGGGUUUCGGCUCGUAAAACUCUGUUGUUAAAGAAGAACAUAUCUGAGGUAACUCAGGUAUUGACGGUAUUUAACCAGAAAGCCACGGCUAACUACGUGCCAGCAGCCGCGGUAAUACGUAGUGGCAAGCGUUGUCCGGAUUUAUUGGGCGUAAAGCGAGCGCAGCGGUUUUUUAAGUCUGAUGUGAAAGCCUUCGGCUCAACCGAAGAAGUGCAUCGGAAACUGGGAAACUUGAGUGCAGAGAGGACAGU